rnacentral:rRNA from 1 species
CGUAGACCCGAAACCACAGUGAUCUACCCAUGUCCAGGUUGAAGCACAGGUAAAAAUGUGUGGAGGACCGAACCUAUAUCCGUUGAAAAGGGUUAGGAUGAGGUGUGGGUAGGGGUGAAAUUCCAAUCGAACGUGGAGAUAGCUGGUUCUCCCCGAAAUAGCUUUAGGGCUAGCCUCAUGAAAAGAGAUUACAGGCGGUAGAGCACUGAUCAGGAGAGGGACCUACCCGGUUACCAAACCCAGUCAAACUACGAAUGGCUGUAAUUACACAUGGGAGUCAGACUACGACUUAUAAGGGCCGUAGUCAAAAGGGAAACAGCCCAGACCAACAGCUAAGGUCCCCAAUGCCGUGCUAAGUGGAGAAGGAUGUGGCAUUUCAUAAACAACCAGGAUGUUGGCUCAGAAGCAGCCACCAUUUAAAGAGUGCGUAAUAGCUCACUGGUCGAGAGACGCUGCGCCGAAAAUGUCCGGGGCUCAAGCACGGAACCGAAGCUAUGGCAUGAUAGCAAUAUCAUGGGUAGGGGAGCGUUCUUAUGAGGGCGAAGCAUGACCGGAAGGACAUGUGGACAAAUAAGAAGAGAGAAUGCCGGUAUGAGUAUCGAAAAGAAAGGUGAGAAUCCUUUCCACCGAAAGCCCGAGGGUUCCUGAGCAACGAUCGUCGACUCAGGGUAAGUCGGGACCUAAGCCGAGGCGAAAAGCAUAGGCGAUGGAGAGCAGGUUGAAAUUCCUGCACCGGAUAAAUUCGAUUGACUGAUGGAGAGACGCAGGAAGGUACAUGAGCGCGCGAGUGGAAGAGCGCGUCUAAGUGCGUAUGGGAAUAUAGAGGCAAAUCCCUAUAUUCAAAACCAAAGACAUGAUGGGGAGUUAAAGGAAACUUUGACGAACUCAUGGAUCCCACACUGCCAAGAAAAACUUCUAAGGAGAAGAUAUCCGCCCGUACCGUAAACCGACACAGGUAGGCGGGGAGAGAAUCCUAAGGUGCGCGGGAAAACCCUCGUUAAGGAACUCGGCAAAUUGCAUCCGUAACUUCGGGAAAAGGAUGACCCUAAGUAAGCGAAGAGACGAAACGCUUGGAACAGAACAGGGUGGCAGAAAAGAGGCCCAAGCAACUGUUUACCAAAAACACAGGUGCCUGCGAAAGCGAAAGCUGAAGUAUAGGUGCUGACGCCUGCCCGGUGCCGGAAGGUUAAGGAGAGAUGUCAGCUAAGGCGAAGCAUUGAACUGAAGCCCCGGUGAACGGCGGCCGUAACUAUAACGGUCCUAAGGUAGCGAAAUUCCUUGUCGGGUAAGUUCCGACCCGCAUGAAAGGCGUAAUGAUUUGGGCACUGUCUCAACGAGGGGCCCGGUGAAAUUGAAAUACCUGUGAAGAUGCAGGUUACCCGCGACUGGACAGAAAGACCCCAUGGAGCUUCACUGCAGCUUGAGAUUGAAUUUCGGUGAUAGACGCACAGGAUAGGUGGGAGACAUAGAGAUACUAUUUUCGGAUAGUAAGGAGUCGAUGUUGGGAUACCACCCUUCUGUCACUGAGAUUCUAACGCGAAGAGUAACGAACUUGCGAACCAUCUCAGGUAGGCGGUUUGACUGGGGCGGUCGCCUCCGAAAGAGUAACGGAGGCGCCCAAAGGUUCCCUCAGGUCGGACAGAAACCGACCGAAGAGUGCAAAGGCAGAAGGGAGCUUGACUGCGAGACAGACAAGUCGAGCAGAGACGAAAGUCGGGCUUAGUGAUCCGGUGGUACUGAGUGGAAAGGCCAUCGCUCAACGGAUAAAAGCUACCCUGGGGAUAACAGGCUAAUCUCUCCCAAGAGUUCAUAUCGACGGGGAGGUUUGGCACCUCGAUGUCGGCUCAUCACAUCCUGGGGCUGGAGUAGGUCCCAAGGGUUGGGCUGUUCGCCCAUUAAAGUGGUACGCGAGCUGGGUUCAAAACGUCGUGAGACAGUUUGGUUCAUAUCCAUCGCGGGCGCAAGAAGUUUGA